GAACGCACAUUGCGGCCAUAGGUAUUCCUUUGGCCAUGCCUGUUCGAGCGUCAUUUACACCCUCAAGCCUAGCUUGGUGUUGGGCGUCUGUCCCGCCGUUCUCGCGCGCGGACUCGCCUCAAAGUCAUUGGCGGCGGUCGUGCCGGCCCCCUCGCGCAGCACAUUUGCGCUUCUCGGAGGCCCGGCGGAUCCGCGCUCCAGCAAGACCUUUCACGACUUGACCUCGGAUCAGGUAGGGAUACCCGCUGAACUUAAG
rnacentral:misc_RNA from 1 species